rnacentral:rRNA from 2 species
GACGUUGAUAGGUCGGGUGUGUAAGUGUAGCGAUACAUUGAGCUAACCGAUACUAAUGAACCGUGAGGCUUAACCUU